AUUCAUAAGGAAGCGUACAUGAGAUAGUAAUAACAGUUUUAUUUACUACAUAAACGUUCAAAUGCAUCAAAAUAUGGUUAUCGAAACGACUCUGUUCUUUUAUUAUUAUAAGUGCAAUCGGGGGAAUUCUGACGCGAUGGGUUCAACAGUACCUAAUCCUUGGACGGCAGCCAAGGUUCAUUCCGAUACUUGGUUUCGACUCAACAGAUAUCGCUAACGUGAACGCUCAAAAGAACUGUAACGAAUCAGGCGAAAGAACAAAAGAGGAACCUUUUAACGUAACAUGAAAAUGAAAAUAAAACGAUAACUCUUAUGAGUCUAAGGAGUGAAGACUUUUGCAAGAUUUUAUUAAGAUAAACUUUACUUUGUGUGAACCAGAAGGGACACUGGAACAAAGAAACAAGUUAGGGAAGCUACAAUAAUUCUGCCUUA